rnacentral:rRNA from 1 species
GAUGAACGCUGGCGGCGUGCCUAAUACAUGCAAGUCGAGCGAACAGACGAGGAGCUUGCUCCUCUGACGUUAGCGGCGGACGGGUGAGUAACACGUGGAUAACCUACCUAUAAGACUGGGAUAACUUCGGGAAACCGGAGCUAAUACCGGAUAAUAUAUUGAACCGCAUGGUGCAAUAGUGAAAGACGGUUUUGCUGUCACUUAUAGAUGGAUCCGCGCCGCAUUAGCUAGUUGGUAAGGUAACGGCUUACCAAGGCGACGAUGCGUAGCCGACCUGAGAGGGUGAUCGGCCACACUGGAACUGAGACACGGUCCAGACUCCUACGGGAGGCAGCAGUAGGGAAUCUUCCGCAAUGGGCGAAAGCUUGACGGAGCAACGCCGCGUGAGUGAUGAAGGUCUUCGGAUCGUAAAACUCUGUUAUUAGGGAAGAACAAAUGUGUAAGUAACUAUGCACGUCUUGACGGUACCUAAUCAGAAAGCCACGGCUAACUACGUG